CCAGGAAGGAGGAGGCAGCCAGAGAGGCCUCCACUGUUCUCUGCAGCAGAAGACCCCCUGCUGCCAGGUGAGGAACACCAAGGCUGAGGAUAAGCAGUUAACACAGAGACAGCCAUGGCAGACUUUUUUCUUGCAAUUUUACUUGCACUUGUUAAACUACUGCAAAGUACCCAGAGACCUACUAGCAGAUCCCAAUCUACCUUAGAACAUAAGAACAGCCCUGCUGGAUCAGGCCCAAGGCCCAUCUAGUCCAGCAUCCUGCUUCACACAGUGGCCCACCAGAUGCCUCUGGGGAGCCCCCAGGCAAGAGUACUACCCACAAUCAUUAAUAUGGGCACACCAGUUCAUUUCACCAAGUGUCUCCAAGUGCAAUGAUGCCUUCUACACUGCUCUUCAAAAGGUACAAGUUCAGGACCCAGCAGCCCUAUUUGCUACAUAUUCCACAGUUUCAGGGGUGGAGGAAUGGAUCAAGUAUUCAACUUUGAGAAGCUGUAAUGUAGUCCAUUAUCUCACUCAGUUCAACUAAAAGCAGAUGUUUUAAAACAAAGAAUACCGUUUAAUUUCUGUGUUCUCAGUUUACCUUCGGCAGUACAUUUGUUCGGGUCCACCUUUGGGCCAUCCCAUUUCUUCCAUCUUUUUGUGAAGGUAAAUAGACCUCCGGAUGGCACCUUCAUAUCUUUCGUUUUGACUCAGGAAAUACUGGUUUUCUAGACUAAAUUCUGGGUCACUCUGGAGCACUGCAUCUGUUGAAUACACAGUGGUUCUUUAACCAGGCCAAGAAGCACUCACUUGUUCAC